rnacentral:misc_RNA from 1 species
GUAUUACAUUUAUUUAUGUGUCCAACAUUUUUCAGUCAAUUGUCAAUGAUACCGUCCGUUCCAAUCCGCAUCGGAAGGGAACAAUAGAAAAGUUGGGACAAAAAUGGAGCCAUAGUACCAACCACAAGUGGUGGACUAGUGCACAUUCAAUAAUGAUCCUUCCGCAGGUUCACCUACGGAAA